GGCACCGUCGCCAAGUGGUAAGGCAGGGGACUGCAAAUCCCCCAUCGUCGGUUCGAUCCCGACCGGUGCCU
rnacentral:tRNA from 1 species